rnacentral:rRNA from 1 species
UACCAGCUCUCCGAGUGGUUAGGGAUGAUUAUUGGGCUUAAAGCGUCCGUAGCCGGCUUAGCAAGUUUCCUGUUAAAUUCAGCGACCUAAUCGUUGAGCCGCGGGAAAUACUACUAGGCUAGGAGGCGGGAGAGGUCGACGGUACUUCUGGGGUAGGGGUGAAAUCCUAUAAUCCCGGGAGGACCACCAGUGGCGAAGGCUGUCGACUAGAACGCGCUCGACGGUGAGGGACGAAAGCUGGGGGAGCGAACCGGAUUAGAUACCCGGGUAGUCCCAGCUGUAAACGAUGCGGGCUAGGUGUUGGGGUGGCUACGUGCCACUUCAGUGCCGCAGGGAAGCCAUUAAGCCCGCCGCCUGGGGAGUACGGCCGCAAGGCUGAAACUUAAAGGAAUUGGCGGGGGAGCACCACAAGGCGUGAAGCUUGCGGUUC